rnacentral:rRNA from 1 species
AAUAUUUGGCAAUGGAGGAAACUCUGACCCAGCAACGCCGCGUGAAGGAAGAAGGUCUUCGGAUUGUCCCCUUCUGUCGUAAGGGAAGAAGAAUGACGGUACCUUACAAGAAAGCCCCGGCUAACUACGUGCCAGCAGCCGCGGUAAUACGUAGGGGGCAAGCGUUGUCCGGAAUGACUGGGCGUAAAGGGAGUGUAGGCGGCAAAGCAAGUUAUAUGUGAAAGCCCGUGGCUCAACCACGGAAUUGCAUAUAAAACUGCUUAGCUAGAGUGUGGGAGAGGUAAGCGGAAUUCCACGUGUAGCGGUGAAAUGCGUAGAGAUGUGGAGGAACACCAGUGGCGAAGGCGGCUUUCUGGUCUGUAACUGACGCUGAGGCGCGAAAGCGUGGGGAGCAAACA